AACAGGAUUAGAUACCCUGGUAGUCCACGCAGUAAACGAUGAUCACUAGCUGUUUGCGAUACACUGUAAGCGGCACAGCGAAAGCGUUAAGUGAUCCACCUGGGGAGUACGCCGGCAACGGUGAAACUCAAAGGAAUUGACGGGGGCCCGCACAAGCGGAGGAACAUGUGGUUUAAUUCGAUGAUACGCGAGGAACCUUACCCGGGUUUGAACGCAUUCGGACCGAGGUGGAAACACCUUUUCUAGCAAUAGCCGUUUGCGAGGUGCUGCAUGGUUGUCGUCAGCUCGUGCCGUGAGGUGUCGGCUUAAGUGCCAUAACGAGCGCAACCCUUGCCACUAGUUACUAACAGGUAAAGCUGAGGACUCUGGUGGGACUGCCAGCGUAAGCUGCGAGGAAGGCGGGGAUGACGUCAAAUCAGCACGGCCCUUACAUCCGGGGCGACACACGUGUUACAAUGGCGUGGACAAAGGGAAGCCACCUGGCGACAGGGAGCGAAUCCCCAAACCACGUCUCAGUUCGGAUCGGAGUCUGCAACCCGACUCCGUGAAGCUGGAUUCGCUAGUAAUCGCGCAUCAGCCAUGGCGCGGUGAAUACGUUCCCGGGCCUUGUACACACCGCCCGUCAAGCCAUGGGAGCCGGGGGUACCUGAAGUCCGUAACCGCGAGGAUCGGCCUAGGGUAAAACUGGUGACUGGGGCUAAGUCGUAACAAGGUAGCCGUACCGGAAGGUGCGGCUG
rnacentral:rRNA from 1 species